UGGGGAAUUUUGGACAAUGGGGGCAACCCUGAUCCAGCAAUGCCGCGUGAGUGAAGAAGGCCUUCGGGUUGUAAAGCUCUUUUGUCAGGGAAGAAACAGCAGCUCUAACACAGUUUGCGAAUGACGGUACCUGAAGAAUAAGCACCGGCUAACUACGUG
rnacentral:rRNA from 1 species